UGACGACUGUUCCUCCUGCUGCUCUAAGAUUUGGCAUGUCAGGAUUUUAGGUCGUCACAGAUCAAACAGGGCCUAUUUCACCCAGUGUGCAGCAGGCAGCGGGGCUGCCUUUUUUGCUCUCUGGUUUUGCGGGACCCAACAAAA